CCUACGGGAGGCAGCAGUGAGGAAUAUUGGUCAAUGGCCGGAAGGCUGAACCAGCCAUGCCGCGUGAAGGUCAGUGCCCUAUGGGCGUUAAACUUCUUUUGUGCGGGAGCAAUAAUGGUCACGUGUGGCCAGACGAGAGUACCGUACGAAUAAGCAUCGGCUAACUCCGUGCCAGCAGCCGCGGUAAUACGGGGGAUGCAAGCGUUAUCCGGAUUUAUUGGGUUUAAAGGGUGCGUAGGCUGUGAGGUAAGUCAGCGGUGAAAUGCCCCCGCUCAACGGGGUGAAGUGCCAUUGAUACUGCCUGGCUGGAAUGCGGAUGCCGUGGGAGGAAUGUGUGGUGUAGCGGUGAAAUGCAUAGAUAUCACACAGAACACCGAGUGCGAAGGCAUCUCACGAAUCCGCGAUUGACGCUGAUGCACGAAAGCGUGGGUAUCAAACAGGAUUAGAUACCCUAGUAGUC
rnacentral:rRNA from 1 species